rnacentral:rRNA from 1 species
AUUGAACGCUGGCGGCAGGCAUAACACAUGCAAGUCGAGCGAGCGGCGGACGGGUGAGUAAUGUCUGGGAAACUGCCUGAUGGAGGGGGAUAACUACUGGAAAGGGUAGCUAAUACCGCAUACCAUCAGAUGUGCCCAGAUGGGAUUAGUUAGUCAGUGGGGUAACGUCUCACCUAGGCGACGAUCCCUAGCUGGUCUGAGAGGAUGACCAGCCAGUCUGGAACUGAGACACGGUCCAGACUCCUACGGGAGGCAGCAGUGGGGAAUAUUGCACAAUGGGCGCAAGCCUGAUGCAGCCCUGCCGCGUGUGUGAAGAAGGCGUUCGGGUUGUAAAGCACUUUCAGUGGGGAGGCGUUACCCGCAGAAAAAGCACCGGCUAACUCCGUGCCAGCAGCCGCGGUAAUUC